GAACUGAGAUAAGUAAUGUGAAUUGCAGAAUUCAGUGAAUCAUCGAGUCUUUGAACGCACAUUGCGCCCCCUGGCAUUCCAGGGGGCAUGCCUGUCCGAGCGUCAUUGCUGCCCUUCAAGCCCGGCUUGUGUGUUGGGUCGUCGUCCCCUCCGGGGGACGGGCCCGAAAGGCAGCGGCGGCACCGCGUCCGGUCCUCGAGCGUAUGGGGCUUUGUCACCCGCUCGAUAAGGACCGGCCGGGCGCCAGCCGGCGUCUCCAACCUUUUUUUCUCAGGUUGACCUCGGAUCAGGUAGGGAUACCCGCUGAACUUAAGC
rnacentral:misc_RNA from 1 species